rnacentral:rRNA from 1 species
GCUUAACACAUGCAAGUCGAACGAGAGAAGAGAAGCUUGCUUUUCUGAUCUAGUGGCGGACGGGUGAGUAACACGUGAGCAAUCUGCCUUUCAGAGGGGGAUACCGAUUGGAAACGAUCGUUAAUACCGCAUAAUAUAAUUGAACCGCAUGAUUUGAUUAUCAAAGAUUUAUCGCUGAAAGAUGAGCUCGCGUCUGAUUAGCUAGUUGGUAAGGUAACGGCCUACCAAGGCGACGAUCAGUAGCCGGACUGAGAGGUUGAUCGGCCACAUUGGGACUGAGACACGGCCCAGACUCCUACGGGAGGCAGCAGUGGGGAAUAUUGCACAAUGGAGGAAACUCUGAUGCAGCGAUGCCGCGUGAGGGAAGAAGGUUUUAGGAUUGUAAACCUCUGUCUUCAGGGACGAAAAAAGACGGUACCUGAGGAGGAAGCUCCGGCUAACUACGUGCCAGCAGCCGCGGUAAUACGUAGGGAGCGAGCGUUGUCCGGAAUUACUGGGUGUAAAGGGAGCGUAGGCGGGAUCGCAAGUCAGAUGUGAAAACUAUGGGCUUAACCCAUAAACUGCAUUUGAAACUGUGGUUCUUGAGUGAAGUAGAGGUAAGCGGAAUUCCUAGUGUAGCGGUGAAAUGCGUAGAUAUUAGGAGGAACAUCAGUGGCGAAGGCGGCUUACUGGGCUUUAACUGACGCUGAGGCUCGAAAGCGUGGGGAGCAAACAGGAUUAGAUACCCUGGUAGUCCACGCCGUAAACGAUGAUUACUAGGUGUGGGGGGACCGACCCCUUCCGUGCCGCAGCAAACGCAAUAAGUAAUCCACCUGGGGAGUACGACCGCAAGGUUGAAACUCAAAGGAAUUGACGGGGGCCCGCACAAGCAGUGGAGUAUGUGGAUUAAUUCGAAGCAACGCGAAGAACCUUACCAGGUCUUGACAUCGUAUGCAUAGCUCAGAGAUGAGUGAAAUCUCUUCGGAGACAUAUAGACAGGUGGUGCAUGGUUGUCGUCAGCUCGUGUCGUGAGAUGUUGGGUUAAGUCCCGCAACGAGCGCAACCCUUACUGUUAGUUGCUACGCAAGAGCACUCUAGCAGGACUGCCGUUGACAAAACGGAGGAAGGUGGGGAUGACGUCAAAUCAUCAUGCCCCUUAUGACCUGGGCCUCACACGUACUACAAUGGCUGUCAACAGAGGGAUGCAAAGCCGCGAGGUGGAGCGAACCCCUAAAAGCAGUCUUAGUUCGGAUUGUAGGCUGCAACCCGCCUGCAUGAAGUCGGAAUUGCUAGUAAUCGCAGAUCAGCAUGCUGCGGUGAAUACGUUCCCGGGCCUUGUACACACCGCCCGUCACGCCAUGGGAGUCGGUAACACCCGAAGCCUGUAGUCUAACCGCAAGGAGGACGCAGUCGAAGGUGGGAUUGAUGACUGGGGUGAAA